rnacentral:pre_miRNA from 1 species
UGUGCUAAUCCUCUUGGAAUGCAGCAAUUAUCACCUACCGUAUAGGUGUUAAGUGCUUGAAUUUCAAAGGGAUUAUCACU